rnacentral:rRNA from 1 species
CCCUUAGAUGUCCUGGGCCGCGCGCGCGCUACAAUGACUCACUCAGAAAGUUUUUCCUGAUCCGGAAGGAUCCGGGUAAUCUUCAUAGCAUGAGUCGUGUUAGGGAUCGAUCUUUGCAAUUAUAGAUCUUGAACGAGGAAUGCCUAGUAAGUGCAGCUCAUCAGGCUGUACUGAUUACGUCCCUGCCCUUUGUACACACCGCCCGUCGCUCCUACCGAUUGAGUGGUCCGGUGAACCUUCUGGAUUAAGCAGCAAUGCUUGAGAAGUUAGGUAAACCUUAUCACUUAGAGGAAGGAGAAGUCGUAACA